rnacentral:misc_RNA from 1 species
UUUCCGUAGGGUAAGUUUAAAUCUAAAUUAACGUCUGAAUCAAUACUAACUGUUAUCUAGUGAACCUGCGGAAGGAUCAUUACUGAGUGAAGCUUGGAAACAAGUAAUUCUCUCCACCCAAUGUCUUAACAAACCUUUUUUAAACUCAUCAAGUUAAAUUUAUGAGAAUAAAAACUUUCAACAACGGAUCUCUUGGUUCUGGCAUCGAUGAAGAACGCAGC